rnacentral:rRNA from 1 species
UACGGGGGGGGCAAGCGUUGUUCGGAAUUACUGGGCGUAAAGCGUGCGUAGGUGGUUUGUUAAGUCUGUUGUGAAAGCCCCGGGCUCAACCUGGGAAUGGCAAUGGAUACUGGCAAGCUAGAGUGCGGUAGAGGGUAGUGGAAUUCCCGGUGUAGCGGUGAAAUGCGUAGAGAUCGGGAGGAACACCAGUGGCGAAGGCGGCUACCUGGACCAGCACUGACACUGAGGCACGAAAGCGUGGGGAGCAAACAGG